AGGCUCAGGACGAACGCUGGCGGCGUGCCUAAUACAUGCAAGUCGAGCGCAGGAAGCAGUUGCUCCCUUCGGGGGUGACGCUUGUGCUUAGGGACCCCCAGGUGAGUAACACGUGGGCAACCUGCCUCUUUAGCGGGAAACCCCGGGAAACCGGGGCUAAUACCGGAUAAUACUUUCUUUUGCAUAAAGGAAAGUUGAAAGGCGGCUUCGGCUGUCACUUACAGAUGGGCCCGCGGCGCAUUAGCUAGUUGGUGAGGUAACGGCUCACCAAGGCGACGAUGCGUAGCCGACCUGAGAGGGUGAUCGGCCACACUGGGACUGAGACACGGCCCAGACUCCUACGGGAGGCAGCAGUAGGGAAUCUUCCGCAAUGGACGAAAGUCUGACGGAGCAACGCCGCGUGAGUGAUGAAGGUUUUCGGAUCGUAAAACUCUGUUGUUAGGGAAGAACAAGUUGGGUAGUAACUGACCCAACCUUGACGGUACCUAACCAGAAAGCCACGGCUAACUACGUGCCAGCAGCCGCGGUAAUACGAAGGUG
rnacentral:rRNA from 1 species